GACGUAGGGUCCAAGCGUUGUCCGGAUUUACUGGGCGUAAAGAGCGCGUAGGCGGUCUGUUAAGUGUGAAGUGAAAUCUCUAGGGCUCAACCCAGAAACUGCUUUACAUACUGGCAGACUCGAGUGAUGAAGAGGUUUGUGGAAUUCCUGGUGUAACGGUGAAAUGCGUUGAUAUCGGAAGGAACGCCGGUGGCGAAAGCGGCGUGCUGGCCCUCUUCUGACGCUGAGGCGCGAAAGCCAGGGGAGCGAACGGG
rnacentral:rRNA from 1 species